UUAAACAGUAAUUAAAAUAUUAAAGUGUGGACGUAAAUAUAUAUUUUGUAAAUUGUAUAAUUUAUUGUGGUCAAAUUAUAUAAAAAAAAAAAAAAUUGAAAUGUAUUAACUUGGCGUGGUUUAAUAUUUAAAAUUAACUCGUAGUUUAUUGAGUAUUGGGUAUUCGGUUUAUAGUUAAUGGAGAAUCAAAGUUUGAAAAGCAUGUUUAAAGUUCAAAUCGACAUUUUAUAGCUUUUUAAUUAAUUCGUUAAAUGCCCAGU